AGAGUUUGAUCCUGGCUCAGGACGAACGCUGGCGGCGUGCUUAACACAUGCAAGUCGAACGGGAGGAAAAGAGAAGCUUGCUUCUUUUUGAAUCUAGUGGCAAACGGGUGAGUAACACGUAAACAACCUGCCUUCAGGAUGGGGACAACAGACGGAAACGACUGCUAAUACCGAAUGUGUUCCGGAGACCGCAUGAUUUCCGGAAGAAAGGAUGGCCUCUAUUUAUAAGCUAUCGCCUGAAGAGGGGUUUGCGUCUGAUUAGGCAGUUGGUGAGGUAACGGCCCACCAAACCUACGAUCAGUAGCCGGUCUGAGAGGAUGAACGGCCACACUGGAACUGAGACACGGUCCAGACUCCUACGGGAGGCAGCAGUGGGGAAUCUUCCGCAAUGGACGAAAGUCUGACGGAGCAACGCCGCGUGAGUGAUGACGGCCUUCGGGUUGUAAAGCUCUGUGAUCGGGGACGAAUGGCUGGUAUGCUAAUACCAUAUCAGAGUGACGGUACCCGAAUAGCAAGCCACGGCUAACUACGUGCCAGCAGCCGCGGUAAUACGUAGGUGGCAAGCGUUGUCCGGAAUUAUUGGGCGUAAAGCGCGCGCAGGCGGCUUCUUAAGUCCAUCUUAAAAGUGCGGGGCUUAACCCCGUGAUGGGAUGGAAACUGGGAGGCUGGAGUAUCGGAGAGGAAAGUGGAAUUCCUAGUGUAGCGGUGAAAUGCGUAGAGAUUAGGAAGAACACCGGUGGCGAAGGCGACUUUCUGGACGACAACUGACGCUGAGGCGCGAAAGCGUGGGGAGCAAACAGGAUUAGAUACCCUGGUAGUCCACGCCGUAAAC
rnacentral:rRNA from 2 species